rnacentral:rRNA from 1 species
GUGCCAGCAGCCGCGGUAAUACCGGCAGCACGAGUGAUGGCCGAUUUUAUUGGGCCUAAAGCGUUCGUAGCCGGCCGGACAAGUCCGUUGGGAAAUCCACGCGCUCAACGCGUGGGCGUCCAGCGGAAACUAUCCGGCUUGGGGCCGGAAGACUCGAGGGGUACGUCCGGGGUAGGAGUGAAAUCCCGUAAUCCUGGACGGACCACCGAUGGCGAAAGCAUCUCGAGAAAACGGAUCCGACAGUGAGGGACGAAAGCCAGGGUCUCCAACCGGAUUAGAAACCCGGGUAGUCC